AUUGCCUCAGUAACGGCGAGUGAAGCGGCAACAGCUCAAAUUUGAAAUCUGGCCCCCUUGCGGUGUCCGAGUUGUAAUUUGUAGAGGAUGCUUCGGCGUUGGCCCCGGUCUAAGUUCCUUGGAACAGGACGUCACAGAGGGUGAGAAUCCCGUACGUGGCCGGUGUCCCUCGCCAUGUGAAGCUCCUUCGACGAGUCGAGUUGUUUGGGAAUGCAGCUCUAAAUGGGAGGUAAAUUUCUUCUAAAGCUAAAUACCGGCCAGAGACCGAUAGCGCACAAGUAGAGUGAUCGAAAGAUGAAAAGCACUUUGGAAAGAGAGUCAAAAAGUACGUGAAAUUGUUGAAAGGGAAGCGCUUGCAACCAGACCUGCCCGCAGUCGCUCAUCCAGGCUCCUGUCUGGUGCACUCUUCUGCGGUCAGGCCAGCAUCGGUUUGGGCGGUCGGACAAAGGCGGCGGGAAUGUGGCUCCCCUCGGGGAGUGUUAUAGCCCGCCGUGCAAUGCGGCCAGUCCGGACCGAGGUCCGCGCUUCGGCUAGGAUGCUGGCGUAAUGGUUGUAAGCGGCCCGUCUUGAAACACGGACCAAGGAGUCUAACAUCUGUGCGAGUGUUUGGGUGUCAAGCCCGGACGCGCAAUGAAAGUGAACGGAGGCGGGAACCUUUGGGUGCACCGUCGACCGAUCCUGAUGUCUUCGGAUGGAUUUGAGUAAGAGCAUAGCUGUUGGGACCCGAAAGAUGGUGAACUAUGCCUGAAUAGGGUGAAGCCAGAGGAAACUCUGGUGGAGGCUCGCAGCGGUUCUGACGUGCAAAUCGAUCGUCAAAUUUGGGCAUAGGGGCGAAAGACUAAUCGAACUAUCUAGUAGCUGGUUCCUGCCGAAGUUCCCC
rnacentral:rRNA from 1 species